AAUUUUUAAAUAUUUAUCUUUUUACUUUUCUUUCUCAUUCAUCAAUCUAUCGUCUCUUCAGCUAGAUCUUCUACUUCAAUCAUUCGAUGUUGUCGGUGAAGAUCUUCAUAUAACGUCCGCAGACACAACAACAACACAGAUCAUAGCUGGUAGAAGGUAAAGCAGCAGAAACCGGCGGGAUCCUCCGUCGUUUCCUUUCUUUCGAUGUUGGUGCCGCCUCUAACGCUGAAUCAUCAGCUGCCUCUAACACCGCCUCUAUUGAUGUUCAUGUGGUCGCCGCUCGCAUUUUAAGGAUCCGAUUGUAUCAAGAUGGCGUUUGAUAUUCUGGUUAGUGGAUUGGAUUCCUAAAGAAGGUGGCUAUUUCAUCGGCAAUCUACAGUCUGCACAUAUGGAUUUUAGGUUUUUCACAUUUGGGAAUCUUUGGACCAUUAUUUCCUCUUUGAGAACCCAAAAACAUAAUGAGGGUAUCCUGAAUUUGAUUGAGGCAAAAUGGGAUGAUCUUGUUGCUAAUAUGCCACUUAAGAUUUCUUAUUCUGCUUUGGAAUCUGAAGAAUGGCGUAUAAUUACUGGAUGUGACCCAAAGAAUACAUGAGGCUCUCUUGAUUCAUAUGCUAAUGUCAUGAUACCUUAUGAAAAGGUUUUCAUAAUUUUAUGAAUAUAUCUUGCUAAUGUAGUGAAAUAUUUGUUUA